rnacentral:rRNA from 1 species
GACGAACGCUGGCGGCGUGCUUAACACAUGCAAGUCGAACGGAAAGGCCUCUUUCGGGGGGUACUCGAGUGGCGAACGGGUGAGUAACACGUGAGUAACCUGCCCUUGACUUUGGGAUAACUUCAGGAAACUGGGGCUAAUACCGGAUAGGAGCUCCUGCUGCAUGGUGGGGGUUGGAAAGUUUCGGCGGUUGGGGAUGGACUCGCGGCUUAUCAGCUUGUUGGUGGGGUAGUGGCUUACCAAGGCUUUGACGGGUAGCCGGCCUGAGAGGGUGACCGGCCACAUUGGGACUGAGAUACGGCCCAGACGCCUACGGGAGGCAGCAGUGGGGAAUAUUGCACAAUGGGUGGAGGCCUGAUGCAGCAACGCCGUGUGCGGGAUGACGGCCUUCGGGUUGUAAACCGCUUUCGCUCAUGACGAAGCUUUGUGUGACGGUAGUGGGUAAAGAAGCACCGGCUAACUACGUG